rnacentral:tRNA from 1 species
AGAUAUCUUUUAUUAGAA